UCGGGAAUUUUGGGCAAUGGGGGAAACCCUGACCCAGCAACGCCGCGUGAAGGAUGAAGUAUUUCGGGUAUGUAAACUUCGAAAGAAUAGGAAGAAUAAAUGACGGUACUAUUUAUAAGGUCCGGCUAACUACGUGCCCAGCAGCCGCGGUAAUACGUAGGGACCAAGCGUUGUUCGGAUUUACUGGGCGUAAAGGGCGCGUAGGCAGCAUGACAAGUCACUUGUGAAAUCUCUGGGCUUAACCCAGAACGGCCAAGUGAUACUGUCGCGCUAGAGUGCAGAAGGGGCAAUCGGAAUUCUUGGUGUAGCGGUGAAAUGCGUAGAUAUCAAGAGGAACACCUGAGGUGAAGACGGGUUGCUGGGCUGACACUGACGCUGAGGCGCGAAAGCCAGGGGAGCAAACGGGGAUUAGAUACCCCGGUAGUCCC
rnacentral:rRNA from 1 species